AAACUGGAGAGUUUGAUCCUGGCUCAGAACGAACGCUGGCGGCGUGCCUAACACAUGCAAGUCGCACGAGAAAGGGGACUUCGGUCCCUGAGUAAAGUGGCAGACGGGUGAGUAACACGUGGGUAACCUGCCCCUGAGUGGGGAAUAACCCAGGGAAACUUGGGCUAAUACCGCAUAAUAUCGCUUUUUCCUUGGAGAGAGCGAUUAAAGGUGGGGAUCGAAAGACCUACCGCUUAGGGAGGGGCCCGCGUCUGAUUAGCUUGUUGGUGGGGUAAUGGCCUACCAAGGCUUCUAUCAGUAGCCGGCCUGAGAGGGUGAUCGGCCACACUGGAACUGAGACACGGUCCAGACUCCUACGGGAGGCAGCAGUGAGGAAUCUUGCGCAAUGG
rnacentral:rRNA from 1 species